GUGGGGAAUCUUGCGCAAUGGGCGAAAGCCUGACGCAGCCAUGCCGCGUGAAUGAUGAAGGCCUUAGGAUUGUAAAAUUCUUUCACCGGGGACGAUAAUGACGGUACCCGGAGAAGAAGCCCCGGCUAACUUCGUGCCAGCAGCCGCGGUAAUACGAAGGGGGCUAGCGUUGCUCGGAAUUACUGGGCGUAAAGGGCGCGUAGGCGGACAGUUUAGUCAGAGGUGAAAGCCCAGGGAUCAACAUUGGAAUUGCCUUUGAUACUGUCUGGCUUGAGUACGGGAGAGGUGAGUGGAACUCCGAGUGUAGAGGUGAAAUUCGUAGAUAUUCGGAAGAACACCAGUGGCGUAGGCGACUCACUGGCCUGUUACUGACGCUGAGGCGCGAAAGCGUGGGGAGCAAACAGGAUUAGAAACCCGGGUAGUCC
rnacentral:rRNA from 1 species